UUUCCGUAGGUGAACCUGCGGAAGGAUCAUUCAUAUAAAGUGUUUUAUGGCACUUUUUAAAAAUCCAUACCCACCUUGUGUGCAAUGUUAGAUCUCGUCAAUCUUGGCGAGAUUUUUAUACAUCAACUCAUUCUUUAACUAAUUUGUCUGAAAAAUAUUAUGAAUACUUAAUUCAAAAUACAACUUUCAACAACGGAUCUCUUGGCUCUC
rnacentral:misc_RNA from 1 species